GCCUGGGUGGCUCAGUCAGUUAAGCAUCUGACUUCAGCUCAGGUCAUGAUCUCCUGGUUCGUGGGUUCAAGCCCCAUAUUGGGCU
rnacentral:tRNA from 1 species